rnacentral:rRNA from 1 species
ACGAACGCUGGCGGCGUGCUUAACACAUGCCAGUCGAACGGAAAGGCCCUGCUUUUGUGGGGUGCUCGAGUGGCGAACGGGUGAGUAACACGUGAGUAACCUGCCCUUGACUUUGGGAUAACUUCAGGAAACUGGGGCUAAUACCGGAUAGGAGCUCCUGCUGCAUGGUGGGGGUUGGAAAGUUUCGGCGGUUGGGGAUGGACUCGCGGCUUAUCAGCUUGUUGGUGGGGUAGUGGCUUACCAAGGCUUUGACGGGUAGCCGGCCUGAGAGGGUGACCGGCCACAUUGGGACUGAGAUACGGCCCAGACUCCUACGGGAGGCAGCAGUGGGGAAUAUUGCACAAUGGGCGGAAGCCUGAUGCAGCAACGCCGCGUGCGGGAUGACGGUCUUCGGGUUGUAAACCGCUUUCGCCUGUGACGAAGCGUGAGUGACGGUAAUGGGUAAAGAAGCACCGGCUAACUACGUG